rnacentral:rRNA from 1 species
GACGAACGCUGGCGGCGUGCUUAACACAUGCAAGUCGAGCGGCGCGGCGAACGGGUGAGUAACGCGUGAGUAACUGCCCCCCUCUCUGGGAUAACAGUAGGAAACGGCUGCUAAUAACGGAUAGUGGGUGAUGACUCGCGUCAUAUCUGCUUGUUGGGGGGGUAGUGGCCUACCAAGGCGACGACGGGUAGCCGGCCUUAGAGGGCGACCGUCCACAUUGGGAUGAGCGACGGCCCAAACUCCGACGGGAGGCAGCAGUGGGGAAGAUUGCACCAUGGGGGAAAACCUGAUGCAGCAACGCCGCGUGCGGGAUGACGGCCUUCGGGUUGUAAACCGCUUUCAGCCAUGACGCGGUAGAGGCAGAAGAAGCACCGGCUAACUAAGUGUCAGCAGCCGCGGUAAUUCCU